ACUGAACGCUGGCGGCAGGCCUAACACAUGCAAGUCGGACGGUAGCACAGAGGAGCUUGCUCCUCGGGUGACGAGUGGCGGACGGGUGAGUAAUGUCUGGGAAACUGCCCGAUGGAGGGGGAUAACCACUGGAAACGGUAGCUAAUACCGCAUAACGUCGCAAGACCAAAGUGGGGGACCUUCGGGCCUCACACCAUCGGAUGUGCCCAGCUGGGAUUAGCUGGUAGGCGGGGUAACGGCCCACCUAGGCGACGAUCCCUAGCUGGUCUGAGAGGAUGACCAGCCACACUGGAACUGAGACACGGUCCAGACUCCUACGGGAGGCAGCAGUGGGGAAUAUUGCACAAUGGGCGCAAGCCUGAUGCAGCCAUGCCGCGUGUAUGAAGAAGGCCUUCGGGUUGUAAAGUACUUUCAGCGGGGAGGAAGGUGCUGAGGUUAAUAAGCUCAGCAAUUGACGUUACCCGCAGAAGAAGCACCGGCUAACUCCGUGCCAGCAGCCGCCGCCG
rnacentral:rRNA from 1 species